rnacentral:rRNA from 1 species
GACGAACGCUGACGGCGUGCCUAAUACAUGCAAGUAGAACGCACAGGAUGCACCGUAGUUUACUACACCGUAUUCUGUGAGUUGCGAACGGGUGAGUAACGCGUAGGUAACCUGCCUGGUAGCGGGGGAUAACUAUUGGAAACGAUAGCUAAUACCGCAUAAGAACAUUUACUGCAUGGUAGAUGUUUAAAAGGUGCAAAUGCAUCACUACCAGAUGGACCUGCGUUGUAUUAGCUAGUAGGUGAGGUAACGGCUCACCUAGGCGACGAUACAUAGCCGACCUGAGAGGGUGAUCGGCCACACUGGGACUGAGACACGGCCCAGACUCCUACGGGAGGCAGCAGUAGGGAAUCUUCGGCAAUGGGGGGAACCCUGACCGAGCAACGCCGCGUGAGUGAAGAAGGUUUUCGGAUCGUAAAGCUCUGUUGUUAAGGAAGAACGAGUGUGAGAAUGGAAAGUUCAUACUGUGACGGUACUUAACCAGAAAGGGACGGCUAACUACGUGCCAGCAGCCGCGGUAAUACGUAGGUCCCGAGCGUUGUCCGGAUUUAUUGGGCGUAAAGCGAGCGCAGGCGGUUAGAUAAGUCUGAAGUUAAAGGCAGUGGCUCAACCAUUGUAGGCUUUGGAAACUGUUUAACUUGAGUGCAGAAGGGGAGAGUGGAAUUCCAUGUGUAGCGGUGAAAUGCGUAGAUAUAUGGAGGAACACCGGUGGCGAAAGCGGCUCUCUGGUCUGUAACUGACGCUGAGGCUCGAAAGCGUGGGGAGCGAACAGG